rnacentral:lncRNA from 1 species
CUUUACUGUUAAUACUCCCACUGAAUUUGCAUAUUAGCUAAAUAUUUCGUUUCACCCGUGACAUUUAGAUUUAACAUUUAGAUAACGUAAAAAAAAAAAAAAAAAAAAAAACUCAAUUUUUUUUUUUUUUUUUUUUUUUUUUUUUUUUUUAUUUCUAAACAUGGUUUGCUGCUAAAUAUUGCAAAAAGUUGCUGUUUAUUUUAGCAUGCGUAACUUUGCAAUCGGCGCCCCAUAUUAGUGGUAAAUUAUAGGUCGAAUUGUAACAGAAAUUAAAGUGUCACAGUUCAAUUUUCCAUCACCAACUAUAAAGUAAAGAGUUCACCACUUAUUGACCAAAUAAAGCUCGAUCAUUCUGUGUCCAUACUAGUUUAUUGCGCACAGAAGCACAUGAGUGUCUGUCAUAGCACAGCAGUAGCAGACGGUAGUGAUCCUAAGACUUGUUGCCCAUUCGGCAGUAGGAGGGAGGGAGGGAGGGAGGGAGAGAGCGUCCCGGAGCUGUCAAACCCUCUCUAUGGACGAACAGCGACACUUUAAUCCAUCACAAAAACAACUCGCAAGAUUAUCCUUUAUCUUCAUCGUGGCACAGGUACUACUUCCUCGCCUCUGCACCCGGAAGCCUGUGUUUUUUUUUUUUUUUUUUUUUUUUUCUAACAUCAUCAUCAUCAUCAUUUUGUCACAUGGCUUUGGAAGAAUUCAAUAACAACAAAAAAUGGCGACAAUCACGUUGCUUCGUGUGCUCUUGCUGCGUCAUUAAAAAUAUUCAUGCAGACAACAGGGAUUCGAGGGGGAACCUGCAGCGGAGCUAAUGGAGUUGUUUACAUCAAGUGCGGAGGGCGGACUGAAGGGGGCGGAGCCUCACCACAGAGGCGAGGAGGCGGAGCCUGUGAGGAGAUUCACAACAAGUUUGACGUCACUCGGUCUGGUGGUGAGGAGGAAGAGGAAUACCACAGUGUGCACUUCUGUCUUGUAAAUUUGUAUUUUUCAAAUAAAUGAAAAAAAAAA